rnacentral:rRNA from 1 species
UACGUAGGGGGCAAGCGUUGUCCGGAAUCAUUGGGCGUAAAGAGCGUGUAGGCGGCCCGAUAAGUCCGCCGUGAAAGUCCAGGGCUCAACCCUGGAAUGCCGGUGGAAACUGUCGGGCUGGAGUCCGGAAGAGGCGAGUGGAAUUCCUGGUGUAGCGGUGAAAUGCGCAGAUAUCAGGAGGAACACCAAUUGCGAAGGCAGCUCGCUGGGACGUUACUGACGCUGAUGCGCGAAAGCGUGGGGAGCAAACAGG